AUACGUAGGGGGCGAGCGUUGUCCGGAAUGAUUGGGCGUAAAGGGCGCGUAGGCGGCCGCUUAAGUCUGGAGUGAAAGUCCUGUUUUCAAGAUGGGAAUUGCUUUGGAUACUGGGGGGCUUGAGUGCAGGAGAGGUUAUCGGAAUUCCCGGUGUAGCGGUGAAAUGCGUAGAGAUCGGGAGGAACACCAGUGGCGAAGGCGGGGAACUGGACUGCAACUGACGCUGAGGCGCGAAAGUGUGGGGAGCAAACAGGAUUAGAUUCCCUGGUAGUCCACACUGUAAACGAUGAAUGCUAGGUGUAAGAGGUAUCGACCCCUUUUGUGCCGGAGUCAACACAAUAAGCAUUCCGCCUGGGGAGUACGGCCGCAAGGUUGAAACUCAAAUGAAUUGACGGGG
rnacentral:rRNA from 1 species